CCUACGGGUGGCUGCAGUGAGGAAUAUUGGUCAAUGGGCGCAAGCCUGAACCAGCCAUGUCGCGUGCAGGAAGACUGCCCUAUGGGUUGUAAACUGCUUUUAUAGUAGAAGAAACACAUCUACGCGUAGAUGUCUGCCAGUAUACUAUGAAUAAGCAUCGGCUAACUCCGUGCCAGCAGCCGCGGUAAUACGGAGGAUGCAAGCGUUAUCCGGAUUUAUUGGGUUUAAAGGGUGCGUAGGCGGGACUGUAAGUCAGGGGUGAAAUACUGCAGCUUAACUGUAGCAUUGCCUUUGAAACUGCCGUUCUUGAGUACAGUUGAGGUAGGCGGAAUGUGGUGUGUAGCGGUGAAAUGCAUAGAUAUACCACAGAACGCCGAUUGCGAAGGCAGCUUACUAAGCUGUUACUGACGCUGAGGCACGAAAGCGUGGGGAUCAAACAGGAUUAGAUACCCCUGUAGUC
rnacentral:rRNA from 1 species